AAGCAGUGGGAGCACAGGUUUACCUGUGUGACUGCGUACCUUUUGUAUAAUGGGUCAGCGACUUAUAUUCUGUAGCAAGGUUAACCGAAUAGGGGAGCCGGAGGGAAACCGAGUCUUAAUUGGGCGUUAAGUUGCAGGGUAUAGACCCGAAACCCGGUGAUCUAGCCAUGGGCAGGUUGAAGGUUGGGUAACACUAACUGGAGGACCGAACCGACUAAUGUUGAAAAAUUAGCGGAUGACCUGUGGCUGGGGGUGAAAGGCCAAUCAAACCGGGAGAUAGCUGGUUCUCCCCGAAAGCUAUUUAGGUAGCGCCUCGUGAAUUCAUCUCCGGGGGUAGAGCACUGUUUCGGCUAGGGGGCCAUCCCGGCUUACCAACCCGAUGCAAACUGCGAAUACCGGAGAAUGUUAUCACGGGAGACACACGGCGGGUGCUAACGUCCGUCGUGAAGAGGGAAACAACCCAGACCGCCAGCUAAGGUCCCAAAGUCAUGGUUAAGUGGGAAACGAUGUGGGAAGGCCCAGACAGCCAGGAUGUUGGCUUAGAAGCAGCCAUCAUUUAAAGAAAGCGUAAUAGCUCACUGGUCGAGUCGGCCUGCGCGGAAGAUGUAACGGGGCUAAACCAUGCACCGAAGCUGCGGCAGCGACGCUGAUGCGUUGUUGGGUAGGGGAGCGUUCUGUAAGCCUG
rnacentral:rRNA from 1 species